rnacentral:misc_RNA from 1 species
AGGAGGUUUAGCAUCUACUGUCACGGAGAGUGAUUUUAAGACAUACUUUGAUCAGUUUGGUACAAUUACAGAUGUCGUAGUGAUGUAUGACCAUAAUACUCAGAGGCCAAGAGGGUUUGGAUUUAUAACUUAUGAUUCGGAGGAAGCAGUUGAUAGGACUUUGUUUAAGAUUUUUCAUGAACUAAAUGGUAAAAUGGUUGAAGUAAAGCGUGCUGUACCGAAGGAGCUAUCUCCAGCGCCUAACUGUAGCCCUCUCAUGGGAUACAACUAUGGACACAAUAGAGCCAACAACUUCCUUAACAACUAUGCUGCUCAGGGUUAUAAUCUAGCGUCGGUUGGAGGAUAUGGGGUCAGGAUGGAUGGCAGGUUUAGUCCAGUUGCCGGUGCUCGUGCCGGUUUCUCUCAGUUUGCUUCUCCUGCUUAUGGGAUGGGUGUCAAUUUGGACCCGGCGUUGAGUCCCACCUUUGCAGGUGCUUCCAACUUCAGCAAUAAUCUUGGAUAUGGACGGAUACUAAACCCAUAUUUCGGUGCAAAUUCAAGCAGAUACACUACUCCUAUUGGAUAUAGCACAAGCAACAAUAGAGCGGAUUCUUUUCUAAGCUCCCCAACCAGGAAUUUAUGGGGAAAUAUUGGCCUUAAUGCUUCCGCAAGUUCUGGUGGUCCAGGUUCAUUUGUAGGCUCUGGAAGCGGAAAUUAUGGCGUCUUUGGGAAUAAUAAUGCUAAUUGGGGUUCUCUUAUUUCCGUUCCGGGUGGUAAUUCUUCUGGAUAUGGUGGUGGAAAUUUCAGGAGUGGGGAAAAUAAUUAUGGGCUGGGAUCGGGAGGACUUGGUAGAAAUAAUGCUGCUACAACCUCAUCGUUUACAACAUCAACUGGUGCUUACGAGGGGUCUUACGGAGAUCAAUUCCGUGGUGCUUCAGUGUAUGGUGAUCGAACUUGGCAAGGUGUGUCUUCUGAUGCAGAUGGUUCUGGUUCAUUUGAAUAUGGUUUUGGAAAUCCAGCUGAUGUUUCUGCUAAAGAGUCUGAGGAUUAUAUCGGAAAUUAUAAUAUUGCAAAUAGGCAACCGAAUAGAGGAAUUGCAGCAUAGAUGAUUUCGUUAUUUCGAUAUCUGAAGAUACUUAGGAGAACAGACUUAUAAGAGAAAGAAGUGGAAGUCGAUGUUUAUAUAGUACCCCUCACAAUAUAUAUAGUUAUAUAUAUAUAUAUAAGUAUAUUUCGGAUAUAAGAAAGCUGAUCUCUAGAGCUAGUGAGGCGCUUGUCAGAUUUAAAGGUGUUUUGUGACAGUUUGAAGUAUCAAUAUAGUAAAAGCAAUUAGACUUUUUUCAGCACUCGAUCGAGAUGUAUAUCAGAUUUGCAAGGUAUACAUGAUACCGUCUAUUGUAGUUGAUGUGUUUGUGCACCCCCGCGAUAAGACCAGUACCUCUGGUACUACUAUGUUGAGCGUUAGAGUUGUCAUUUUUUAUA